AAUGCAUCGAGAUAUCUGAGGAUGUUGAAUGAAUUCGUGGCUCGAGUUCUCGCGUUCAUGCUUCUUCUGCCUGUUUUGUUGUCAAAUUUGAUGCUUUAUUUUGGCUUUGGGGGUUAAAUUAGGGUUUAUUUGGAUGCAGAUUGAUGCUUGGCUACGCGUAUCAAACAUUUGAAUGCUUUAAAAUGAUGGAGGUGGGGGCAAGCUAGCAUAGGGCAACUCCAUUUCUGGUGCCAAUACUGGGUGAUUGUUGCAAUCUUGACGGUCUUUGAAAGAUUCUUCGAUGUGUUCAUUUCAUGGUUGCCAUUGUCUGAUGAGACCAAGCUAGCAUUCUUCAUCUACUUGUGGCACCCAAAAACAAAGGU